GGUUAGUUAUCCUUUUAACCAAAGAGUGUGGUGACACUGGUAUGGCAUACAGGUGAGAUGUAAAGGUACAUCGUCACUGAACAGGUGACUCACCUGCUGAGCAUCUACUGUCAAGAACUGCUUGCAAAGCAUAUGGGUAUAAGUAUCUUUCAGAUAUGAGAUCACCAUAAUGACUUGCAAGCAACUCACUGUGCUUUGGUGCCGGACUAUUUGGAUUUCUAAUGAAAUGAUGGAAGGCUACUGGGUACAGUCAAAUAUUUGCGAAGUCUGUUUGUGAUUCAAGAUGGGAUUGACCCCUCCGAAUUAUUGAAGUUGAUGUAUCGUUGUAUUUUAAUUUUGUAAAGCCUUGGCCAGGAUAAUCUAUGAGAUGGAUUUGAAAGAUUGAAAUACAAUAUAGAUGUAGCGAUCUCGGUUGACAGUUAACCUGAGACCACCCUAGAGCAUUCAGGAUCAAAAAGAUGAAUUAUGCGGUAACCAUGUGCAUGGAUUUUAGAAUAUUCUUUUAUGAUAAUUCGACCUAUCAGGACAUCAAAAACCAUUGUUAGAUGGUAUCUCGAUUAGUGCAGACAUUGGUUCCUGUGCUAUCGGCUUAGUGUUUGAACCUAUGAAGUCACGCACAUAAGUCAGACAAAGUAGGAAGGAAUUGAUCUAUGUUUAUAUGUCCAAUCUGAAAGUACUUGACUUGAUUGAAUAUAUAAGCUAACUUGAUUGAGAAUUGAGUUAUGGAUCAAACGGGAUUGAAAAGUUGACUAUGUCUAGCUAGUACUACACACGAGAUUCAGGUUCAAUCCCGGAGAUGAACAAUUUCUAUCUAUGAUCCAUAGAAUAUAUGAAAGAUUGAAUUUAAGUGCUAAUUAAUUUUAGAUUAGAUCUGAAUUAAUUAGGCUUAAAUAGGUCC
rnacentral:lncRNA from 1 species